GGGUCCAGGGCUGGUGUUGCUGCAAAGGGAAAUCCUCAGUCCGCCAGGCUCCUUCUCAGCCUCGGUGGGACCCUUUAUUUUUGUGGUUUUGAGACGGCUGCUGGACUUCUGGGCUUCUUGAGCAAUUAAGACAGAGCAGAAAGACCUAAGAAGCAUCUGCCCCAUGGACUUCCGCCCGCCUCUCGAGGGCAAAAUGGGUUCCCAUGGCUACUCCUGACUACUGGGGAGGCUGGAAAAUGAUUUGAUUUUACCUCUUGGUCCCUGUAAUCAAGGACACAUGAGGGAGAGUGGCGAACACUAGCCAGUAAGUGGCCUUUCUCUAGGCAGUGCGUGAAAGGCCCCUGGGAACCACAGAGCCUCUGGAGAGGGCUUUACAUGAAAGACAGAGAGGAGAGGAAGAGCAAAGACCAGCAGCUGGGAAAAUAUGGCCACAAAUGUUUAAGUUCAAUGCCGCAUUGAACCUGGAUCUGCUCCUGGCUGUUCUGAGAAUGGCAUGGGGGUGCUGGAAGAAGGGCCUGAGCUUGCACUGUUCCCUCAACCUUAACAGCUCAGGGAGUCCCAGCUAGCAGUGCAAUAAGGAAUGUGUGCAGCACAGGCCACUCAUGCGUUCUCUUGAUUGUGAGUGGACACUUAACCCCUACAUUUGGAACAAGUAGUGGCUGCCUUAUUUUCUAUAAUUCAACUUUAUUUCUAUCUCAAGGUGGCCUUCCUCCUGGUUGAUAGAAAAUGAC
rnacentral:lncRNA from 10 species